rnacentral:rRNA from 1 species
UACCAGCACCCCGAGUGGUCGGGACGAUUAUUGGGCCUAAAGCAUCCGUAGCCGGUCCUACAAGUCUUCCGUUAAAUCCACCUGCUUAACAGAUGGGCUGCGGAAGAUACUAUAAGGCUAGGAGGCGGGAGAGGCAAGCGGUACUCAGUGGGUAGGGGUAAAAUCCUCUGAUCCAUUGAAGACCACCAGUGGCGAAGGCGGCUUGCCAGAACGCGCUCGACGGUGAGGGAUGAAAGCUGGGGGGAGCAAACCGG